rnacentral:rRNA from 1 species
UACGUAGGGGGCAAGCGUUGUCCGGAAUCAUUGGGCGUAAAGAGCGCGUAGGCGGCCCGAUAAGUCCGCUGUGAAAGUCAAGGGCUUAACCCUUGAAUGCCGGUGGAAACUGUCGGGCUAGAGUCCGGAAGAGGCGAGUGGAAUUCCCGGUGUAGCGGUGAAAUGCGCAGAUAUCGGGAGGAACACCAAUGGCGAAGGCAGCUCGCUGGGACGUGACUGACGCUGAGACGCGAAAGCGUGGGGAGCAAACAGG